rnacentral:rRNA from 1 species
AUUGAACGCUGGCGGCAGGCCUAACACAUGCAAGUCGAGCGAGCGGCGGACGGGUGAGUAAUGCCUGGGAAUUGCCCAGUCGAGGGGGAUAACAGUUGGAAACGAUUGCUAAUACCGCAUACGAUUGGAUCGCCCAGGUGGGAUUAGCUAGUUGGUGAGUUAAUGGCUCACACAGGCGACGAUCCCUAGCUGGUCUGAGAGGAUGAUCAGCCACACUGGAACUGAGACACGGUCCAGACUCCUACGGGAGGCAGCAGUGGGGAAUAUUGCACAAUGGGGGAAACCCUGAUGCAGCCAUGCCGCGUGUGUGAAGAAGGCCUUCGGGUUGUAAAGCACUUUCAGCGAGGAGGCGUUCCUCUCCUUAGAAGCACCGGCUAACUCCGUGCCAGCCGCCGCGGUAAUAC